rnacentral:rRNA from 1 species
UGGGGAAUAUUGCGCAAUGGGGGAAACCCUGACGCAGCGACGCCGCGUGGGUGAUGAAGGCCUUCGGGUCGUAAAGCCCUGUCGUAGGGGAAGAACCGGUGCACAGCUAAUAUCUGUGUGCCCUGACGGUCCCCUACCAUAAAGCACCGGCUAACUCCGUGCCAGCAGCCGCGGUAAUACGGGGGGGGCGAGCGUUGUUCGGAAUUACUGGGCGUAAAGGGCGCGUAGGCGGCCCGAGAAGUUCUGGGUGAAAGCCCCCGGCUCAACCGGGGAAGUGCCGGGAAAACCAUCGGGCUGGAGUGCUGGAGAGGCAAGCGGAAUUUCUGGUGUAGCGGUGAAAUGCGUAGAUAUCAGAAGGAACACCUGCGGCGAAGGCGGCUUGCUGGACAGACACUGACGCUGAGGCGCGAAAGCCAGGGGAGCAA